UGCAGGAACAAAUUUUAUUCGCCAACAAUCGCAUAUAAAAUGGAAUCUCUCAAAUUAUUGCACUAACGCGUUUCAACCUAAGCGGUCUUUAUCAAAGUGCUAACAAUGUCAAACAAAUUAAACAUUUAAAUAUAGUUACAAAAAGGCGCGCUGUGAUUUCUUUUCCGGUUCACUUCCGGAUUUCGGCUGUCCGACCUCCAACUUCCGGUCACGUUGCGUUACGUCUCUUCAAACACUUCCGGGUCAGCGGACAGUGUUUCUCUUGCGUUCCAGUACGUCUUCAAUCUCAGUCAUUAUUUCCGGCUUCCGGUCAUGUGGCCUAUCACGGGAUACUUUCG